rnacentral:lncRNA from 1 species
CUUCCAUGUGUAACAUCCCAAAAUUUCAAACUUUACAUGUGCAUUGCAUCCAUAAGCAUCAUGCCACAAUUGCAUAUUUGAAUUCAAAUUUUGAAUCUCAAAAGGCUUUAAAGAUUUGGUUUACACCCUUUUGAGCUUUGGAUUUUCAAAACAAGAAGGUUUAUGCAUAAGAGGGGUUUAAUGCAUAUAUAAGCUAUCCCAUAAUUUUUGAAUAAUUAUUAGGAGUUGAAAAGGUAUUUUAUUUAAAUAGAUAUAUGGCCCUAAAGGCAUUUAUAGGUCAAAUGUAUUUUUAUAUAUUUUAUUUUGAAGAGAAACUACUUCCAAAAGUUGUAUCAUGGUAGAACAUGAUUUUACAAAUUUUCUGGAAUUUAUUUGGACCAAUUUGGAGUUCAAACUCAAAAGAUAUCAAAGAAAUGAGAAAAGCAGAAAAAGAAAAGGCUAAAAGAAAAAAAAGGGGGAGAAACGGACC